rnacentral:lncRNA from 1 species
AUGAGAGCAGCAGAGAGGAGAGGUGAGGGCAGAGGCUGGGACCCAAGAUCACACCCUCAUCCUUUCCCUAGCCCCAUGAGAAGUAGAGGGGGCUCCUCCUGCAGGUCCCCUGGAGCUGUUGUGUGUGAUCCCCCAGGAAGAGUGCGGAGGUCUCCAGGGCAUGUGGCCUGGUUGGAGCUCAGCCACCAUCUGUAUCCCUUCUCCCCGCGUGCUGCAGGUAGGAAGCAGGAUGGUGAUUGUCGCUGCGGGCUGCGUGCUGCUCCUCAUGGGCAUAUUUGGGAAGAUCGGGGCUGCAUUUGCCACCAUCCCGACACCCGUGAUCGGAGGCAUGUUCCUGGUGAUGUUCGGGGUCAUCACUGCCGUGGGGAUUUCCAAUCUCCAGUACGUGGACUUGAACUCAUCCAGAAACCUCUUCAUCUUCGGCUUCUCCAUCUUCUGUGGGCUUGCCAUUCCCAACUGGGUGAACAAGAACCCAGAGAGGCUCCGCACAGGGAUUCUUCAGCUGCAGGUCUGUGAAAUCGCUAGGCUGCUGGAGGUGUCUGCUGGGACUGGGUGCUGAAGUGUGUUGAGUAGCAUUUCCCCCAGUUCAUGCCCACCUGGAGCCUAUUUGAAACUAGAGUCUGUGCAGAUGUGAUUAUCUAAGGCUGUAAGCUGAAGUCAUCCUGGAUUUGGGGUGUGCCCUCGAUCCAAAUGAUAGGUGUCCUUACAGGAUAGAGGGACACAGAGAUCACAGAAGAUGGAGGCAGCGAUGCAGCUACAAGUGCAGGGAUCUCCGGCACUGCUGGGAGCACCGGGAGCUAGGAAAAGGCAUGACAAAUUCUCCCCUAGAGCUUUCAGGGGGAGCAUGGCGGGUCAACACGGAAACUGGGCCUUCUGGGAGAAUAAAUUUUUGUUGUUUUAAGCCCCUGAGUUUGUG